UCAUUGCCCUAUUCUGUUCCUCAUUACCUUAAUUCUAAAUGAUGUUUUGAUUGAAUGCAUGGUUAAUUCUAGGUUCAUUUUACCCUACCGCUCCAAUUCCCAAAGCAACAACCAAUUCUGGUGCUUCAAAGUUCCCAGCAUUUCAGCUCUGUUGGUGGUGUGCCCAUCAAGUCACCCCUUUUGACCGAUUUCCCAUGGAGUCCCAGAUGGGAACCGUCAGAAAUGGCUGAGCGGAUGUUUGAUUUCCUGGUGGAAGAAUGUUUGAACUUCAAGAAGUACUGUAACGAGAGUCAGCUUCAGCAACGCUAGGAGCAGUGCCUUGGUGUUCUAUUCCUUGAGAGAUCAGACUUUGUAAAUACAGGAAAACCAUUGUUCAUAACCUGUUGGGUUGGCUCAAAACGCUUGGGAUGCAAUGAUUUUUCUUUUGUCAGAACUGCUUACAACGGAACUCGAAAAACAGCCUGACUUGUGAUUUUAAUGCUUUUUCUCUCAGCUCUUUCAAGAGAAAGAAUCGGAAUUUUGUGGUGUUGAA